AAUUUAAGUUAAUAUAAACCUUAAGUUUUCAAAACUUACAAUAGAUUAAAAUCUAAUUUACAUAAAUGGC
rnacentral:tRNA from 1 species